rnacentral:rRNA from 1 species
AACAUGCCUUUUGGUACGGAAUAGCCCCGGGAAACUGGGAGUAAUACCGUAUGUGCCCUUCGGGGGAAAGAUUUAUCGCCAAAAGAUUGGCCCGCGUUAGAUUAGCUAGUUGGUGGGGUAAAAGCCUACCAAGGCGACGAUCUAUAGCUGGUUUGAGAGGAUGAUCAGCCACACUGGGACUGAGACACGGCCCAGACUCCUACGGGAGGCAGCAGUAAGGAAUAUUGGACAAUGGGGGCAACCCUGAUCCAGCCAUGCCGCGUGAGUGAAGAAGGCCCUAGGGUUGUAAAGCUCUUUCAGAUGUGAAGAUGAUGACCGUAGCAUCAAAAGAAGCCCCGGCUAACUUCGUGCCAGCAGCCGCGGUAAUACGAAGGGGGCUAGCGU